rnacentral:rRNA from 1 species
AUUGAACGCUGGCGGCAUGCUUUACACAUGCAAGUCGAACGGCAGCGCGGGCUUCAGCCUGGCGGCGAGUGGCGAACGGGUGAGUAAUGCAUCGGAACGUGCCCAGUAGUGGGGGAUAGCCCGGCGAAAGCCGGAUUAAUACCGCAUACGACCUGAGGGUGAAAGCGGGGGACCGAAAGGCCUCGCGCUAUUGGAGCGGCCGAUGUCGGAUUAGCUAGUUGGUGGGGUAAAGGCUUACCAAGGCGACGAUCCGUAGCUGGUCUGAGAGGACGACCAGCCACACUGGGACUGAGACACGGCCCAGACUCCUACGGGAGGCAGCAGUGGGGAAUUUUGGACAAUGGGGGCAACCCUGAUCCAGCCAUGCCGCGUGCGGGAAGAAGGCCUUCGGGUUGUAAACCGCUUUUGUUCGGGAAGAAAUCCUCUGGGCUAAUACCCCGGGGGGAUGACGGUACCGGAAGAAUAAGCACCGGCUAACUACGUG